AACGAACGCUGGCGGCGCGUCUUAAGCAUGCAAGUCGAACGGCAAGAGAGAAGCUUGCUUCUCUCCUAGAGUGGCGGACUUGAGGAACACGUGGGUAAUCUACCCUUAAGAUGGGGAUAGCUGCUAGAAAUAGCAGGUAAUACCGAAUACACUCAGCUUUUCAUAAGAAGGAUUGAGGAAAGGAAGCUACGGCUUCGCUUGAGGAUGAGCUUGCGUCCCAUUAGCUUGUUGGUGAGGUAACGGCCCACCAAGGCGACGAUGGGUAUCCGGCCUGAGAGGGUGAUCGGACACAUUGGGAUGAGAUACGGCCCAAACUCCUACGGGAGGCAGCAGCUAAGAAUAUUCCGCAAUGGACGAAAGUCUGACGGAGCGACGCCGCGUGGAUGAAGAAGGCUGAAAAGUUGUAAAAUCCUUUUGUUGAUGAAGAAUAAGGGUGAGAGGGAAUGUUCAUCUGAUGACGGUAAUCAGCGAAUAAGCCCCG
rnacentral:rRNA from 1 species